rnacentral:rRNA from 1 species
UACAGAGGUCUCAAGCGUUGUUCGGAUUCAUUGGGCGUAAAGGGUGCGCAGGCUGUGGGGUAAGUCGGAUGUGAAAUUUAGGGGCUCAACCCCUAAACUGCAUUCGAUACUGCUCCGCUAGAGGACUGUAGAGGAGAUUGGAAUUCACGGUGUAGCAGUGAAAUGCGUAGAUAUCGUGAGGAAGACCAGUGGCGAAGGCGAAUCUCUGGGCAGUUCCUGACGCUCAUGCACGAAGGCCAGGGGAGCAAACGGG